rnacentral:rRNA from 1 species
AGCUCCAAUAGCGUAUAUUAAAGUUGUUGCAGUUAAAAAGCUCGUAGUUGGAUUUCUGGUUUGAGCGUCCGGUCCGCCUCUUACGGGGCGCGUACUAUGGAUGUUUGGGCCAUUUUUUGUGAGGAUGCCUUUCUGCCAUUAAGUUGGUGGUUGGGUGGACUUGCAUCGUUUACUGUGAAAAAAUUAGAGUGUUUAAAGCAGGCGUUUGCUCAUUUGAAUACAUUAGCAUGGAAUAAUAAGAUACGACUUUGGUGGUCUAUUUUGUUGGUUUGCACGCCAGAGUAAUGAUUAAUAGGGACAGUUGGGGGUAUUCAUAUUUCAGCGUCAGAGGUGAAAUUCUUGGAUCGCUGAAAGAUGAGCUUAGGCGAAAGCAUUUACCAAGGAUGUUUUCAUUA